rnacentral:rRNA from 1 species
UACGGAGGAUGCAAGCGUUAUCCGGAAUGAUUGGGCGUAAAGCGUCCGCAGGUGGCUAUGUAAGUCUGCUGUUAAAGAGUGAGGCUCAACCUCAUAAAAGCAGUGGAAACUACAUGGCUAGAGUGCGUUCGGGGCAGAGGGAAUUCCUGGUGUAGCGGUGAAAUGCGUAGAUAUCAGGAAGAACACCGGUGGCGAAAGCGCUCUGCUAGGCCGCAACUGACAACUGAGGGACGAAAGCUAGGGGAGCGAAUGGG